AGUGAACGCUGGCGGUAGGCCUAACACAUGCAAGUCGAACGGCAGCACAGUAAGAGCUUGCUCUUACGGGUGGCGAGUGGCGGACGGGUGAGGAAUACAUCGGAAUCUACUUUUUCGUGGGGGAUAACGUAGGGAAACUUACGCUAAUACCGCAUACGACCUACGGGUGAAAGCAGGGGAUCUUCGGACCUUGCGCGAUUCAAUGAGCCGAUGUCGGAUUAGCUAGUUGGCGGGGUAAAGGCCCACCAAGGCGACGAUCCGUAGCUGGUCUGAGAGGAUGGUCAGCCACACUGGAACUGAGACACGGUCCAGACUCCUACGGGAGGCAGCAGUGGGGAAUAUUGGACAAUGGGCGCAAGCCUGAUCCAGCCAUACCGCGUGGGUGAAGAAGGCCUUCGGGUUGUAAAGCCCUUUUGUUGGGAAAGAAAAGCAGCAGGUUAAUACCCCGCUGUUCUGACGGUACCCAAAGAAUAAGCACCGGCUAACUUCGUG
rnacentral:rRNA from 1 species